rnacentral:lncRNA from 1 species
AUGGAAGGGCGAGGCAAGGCCCGGCUGAGCAGCUUCUCCUGGCGGCUCCGUAGGCCGGUGGAAGCGGAAAGUGAAACUGCUCAGCGCUGCCCUGUGCUGGGGGGAGGAGGCUGCUGGGUCUCACUUUCAGUUCCCGAGAGGCACCUAAGACUUGGACUGAAGGCAUGUUGCGUUCAUAUCAAAACCUCUGCUCUGCCUGUCAGGGAGGAGAAACCUACGUCUCCAGCACUGAAGUUCAGGGCUCCUGGUACCCAACUAUUGUCUUGGUCCAGGUGUUUUUUUUUUUUUUUUCUUUUCUGACCAAAAUGCCACCUUGGAACUUCCUUUCCUUUUGUAACUGGAGCAUGCAGCUUCUGGCAAGAUAACCCUUUGUGAACUCAUUCUCAGCCAGCUCUGUUGGUGAACACAACUUACACUAUGAAAACUGCUCAGCCCUGCGCUUCAAGAAGAUCCACACGCUCUGUCCUGAGUCCUUGCUUGACAAAAUCUCCCAAGAAACAGUAGGAGUUUGGACUGUGUGGUUUCUAAUGUUAAGCCAAAAAUAAAUGAUGUAUGUUGCCUUAUAGUCUUACA